AGUGAACGCUGGCGGUAGGCUUAACACAUGCAAGUCGAACGGCAGCACAGUAAGAGCUUGCUCUUACGGGUGGCGAGUGGCGGACGGGUGAGGAAUACAUCGGAAUCUACUUUUUCGUGGGGGAUAACGUAGGGAAACUUACGCUAAUACCGCAUACGACCUACGGGUGAAAGCAGGGGAUCUUCGGACCUUGCGCGAUUGAAUGAGCCGAUGUCGGAUUAGCUAGUUGGCGGGGUAAAGGCCCACCAGGGCGACGAUCCGUAGCUGGUCUGAGAGGGUGAUCAGCCACACUGGAACUGAGACACGGUCCAGACUCCUACGGGAGGCAGCAGUGGGGAAUAUUGGACAAUGGGCGCAAGCCUGAUCCAGCCAUACCGCGUGGGUGAAGAAGGCCUUCGGGUUGUAAAGCCCUUUUGUUGGGAAAGAAAAGCAGCAGGUUAAUACCCCGCUGUUCUGACGGUACCCAAAGAAUAAGCACCGGCUAACUUCGUG
rnacentral:rRNA from 1 species